ensembl:ncRNA B0198.6 ncRNA
AUACGGGCUUGAAAUGGGAGCGCCGAGAUAGAAUUGAAAGUAGAGAAGAACAUCACGAAAAAGGCGUAAAAGUUCUGGCGACUCACUCAUCUCCUCUACAGCGCCGCCCCUCCCGCCCCAUCGCCUUCCGUUUCCUUUUCCAAUUUAAACGGAUACUCUCAAUCUGACACAUUUAUAGUGGGAAACAAACUGAAGCGGUCCCCCCACUCCUCCCU